CGAAAAAAAAAAUUGGACUAUAAUUUCAUUUGAAAUCAAUAUUUAUUUUUAAUAUUAUUAAUUAAAAUUCUCCACUGAGAAACAAUGGGUUCAAAACUUACCAUACUUAUUCGUAAUCCUCUCUUCUUCUUCUUUUUUUUAAAAUAUUCCGAUCACUUUGUCUGUAAUUCGUCACGAUCACUUUCUCUUGGAAAUGAUUUUGACUGGACCUCACUGCUGCUACUACUACCAGUACUCUAUUGAUCUUAAUAUUCGUUACUAUCCGUUUUCAAACAUAUUUAAUUACAAUAUGUUUACUAUUCAUGGUUCUUUGCACCUACACUUUGCGUUAAUUUAAAGUUAUAGUGACAUGAUAUUCAGUAUUCCAUUACUUGUACAAGUUGGAAGUAUUUUAUACUUUUGUGUAGAGGAAAAAAACUAUUAUAUACUUUUAUAUCAGAGGGUGAAAACUCAGGUCAUGUGUUAACCAAAUGUUUUUUUUAUUAAACUUGACAAACUGAUCUUCAGACAAACAGCAAACAUAUCAACAUAUGUAAUUGAAAUACACAUAUAUUAGAAGUAGGGUGGAACUUUACAUAAAACCAUAUAUAGUUGAUGUCGGAACAUCAAAACAUUUGAACCUAUUACUUCUACGUUUUGGAGAUCCGCAUAUUUUCGUCUAAAUUUUCGAUUAUGUAACUAUAAUUCAAAUUAGUCACGUAGCGCUGACUCGUAUGGAUAAUAGAUUACAGACACUAUAUUUUAUGAGUUUGUUAUACAAAUUAACUAAUAGUGGCACAUAUUCAAAGUUGAAGAACAACACAUCGGACUUUAUUAUAACAAUUAGUACAAGUUAUAUAUGUUCCUUUUUGUCACACAGUACGAGAUAUGUUAAAACAUAUCGUUUUCGUGAUAUUAGACAAGACCACAUUUUUGUUGACAAAACAACGACCACAUUUUCAAUUGGAACAAACAUAAAGCUAUAGAAUAAAGAAACGAAAAAGGAAAAACGAGUUAAGAAACCUAAACUAGCAUUGUACCAUUACUGGACGUCCAAAAAAAAAAAAGCAUUGUUCCAUUACAUUUUGAACCUCUGGAAGUGCUUGCACGUGAAAGUUACACGCAUUUCUUAAAUAAAUACAUUGCUUCCUUUGUGAUUUAAACAAAUUUUACUUUCAUGUAAUCGAUUUGAUUGAUAAUUAUAGUUGUUUAAAAAUUUGUUCUUCAUCAAACUGGACCAAGGACGGCAGCGAAGCAUAGAGUUUUUGGACCAGUCUUAAUGGAGUAUGCAUUAUACAACACAAUAAUUACUAAUUAUAACUCGACAUGUGGAUUCACCUUUAGAGAAAAUAAAUCAGAUAAGUGAAAAGUGAUUAAAUUUUCUGUGGUCUUGAUUAUUCAGAGAGCCAAUAAUUAGGGCAAGCAUCAGAACAUUAGGAAAAUGAAUUUAUUAGAACUAGCUUUUCGGCUGUCAAAAAGAAUUCAUGAUACUAAAACCAUUAAAGUGAAAGGUGAAGUGAUUCCAUAAAAGACUGAAGUAAACAUAUAUCAACCAUCACUUUAGGAAUCAAGAACAUGUUCGUUUGGUAUUGUUAAAUUUAUUACUAAAUCAGGGCAUUUACUAAUAGCAAUAACGAUAAUGAUCUUAAUAAUGUAAUAAUUCAAGAAUUUUCAAAUGGAUGAUCAGAUACAACCGUAUACAAGUCACCGAUCUAAUAAACUCUUUAUCGCUUGCUAUGCGGCGAUUGAGAUAAAUGAGCAUAGCUAAGAUUUAAAUAUCAUAAAAGUUAGAAUCUUAUCAACAUGCAAUUUAAGAUGGUUAUUAGCGCUGGGAAUUUGAUUCUUCACCCGCGGGCCCCGCCCCAUUAGGCCCGCUGCGGGACGGGUGCAGACCUAACCAAAAUCUGAUUUUAUAAAUGGCGGGUCAUGCAGAUCAGGUAAAAAAAUAGCGGGACGAGCGCGGGUAUGGUAAUUUUGGAAACGGGUUAGCAGGCACCCACUUAUAUUGAAAACAUGUUGUUUUGUUAGUUUUGUUUUGCGUCGUUUUUGUGUUUUAGGUUGUUAGUGUGUGUCGUUUUCUAAUUUUAGGAUGUAACUUUGUGCUGUUUUCAUUGGUUUAAGGGAUAAAACAAAUCCAAUAGCCCUAAUCUCUAGUAUUCUUUUCCCUUUUCCGUAACCCUAAAUUGAGUCUCUCGCUCUCUUGACUCUCUGCAGAUCAAAAUCGUCGACUGUCAAGUCUCUUUCUAGUCUCAUCUCUCUGUCUCUAGUUUCGAUCUCUCCCUGGACUCUCUGUCUCUCUCACGGCUGAGUCCUGCUCGAUAAACCAGGUAUUGUGACGGAGAAAACAACAGGAGAUCUAUGUAAAUCCGGGUGUUGGUAUGAGGGGGCAGUUUACCAUAUGAAAUUUUUGAGGAUUCAAGUCAGGGGAAGAAAGAAGACCUCUGUCAUAGAAGCUCUAUGUAAUUUGUUUUCAAGUUUGAUUUUAGUUUGAACAAGAACUUAUGGUUUGUGUGUUUGUCAGAUCUUUAGCUUAUUGUUUGGUGUUUGUCGGGUUAAAACUUGAUUGUGUGUUUGUUUUUGUUUUUAUUUGGUCAUUAAAUUUUUUUUUUUAAAA